rnacentral:rRNA from 1 species
UACGAAGGGUGCAAGCGUUACUCGGAAUUACUGGGCGUAAAGCGUGCGUAGGUGGUUCGUUAAGUCUGUCGUGAAAGCCCCGGGCUCAACCUGGGAAUGGCGAUGGAUACUGGCGGGCUAGAGUGCGGUAGAGGAGAGUGGAAUUCCCGGUGUAGCAGUGAAAUGCGUAGAGAUCGGGAGGAACAUCAGUUGCGAAGGCGGCUCUCUGGACCAGCACUGACACUGAGGCACGAAAGCGUGGGGAGCAAACAGA